UCUUAGCACUUCCCGCUUCGCCAUCAGAUGGCGUGGAAGGUAGUGUUAUGAUU
rnacentral:pre_miRNA from 1 species